rnacentral:lncRNA from 1 species
UAAGAACUGGAAAUGAUGAGGAUGUGCAAUCUCUAUGAAGUGGUAGCAUCAUUGAAUUUCGGCAUGAAACUCUUCGGCUCCGGUGUUCAUGCAAAACAGAGAAAGUAAAUAAAUUAAAGAGAAGCAUUUAAUCUCUAGGAGCAUUUAAGAUUUUACCUUAACUGAAUUAGUAUUUAUUUGGUACAAAAUCAAAGAUUAAUUAGGAGCCAUAAAUACAGGCGUUAUUUUAAGCUACAA